GAUGAACGCUGGCGGCGUGCCUAAUACAUGCAAGUCGAGCGAACAGACGAGGAGCUUGCUCCUCUGACGUUAGCGGCGGACGGGUGAGUAACACGUGGAUAACCUACCUAUAAGACUGGGAUAACUUCGGGAAACCGGAGCUAAUACCGGAUAAUAUAUUGAACCGCAUGGUUUAAUAGUGAAAGACGGUUUUGCUGUCACUUAUAGAUGGAUCCGCGCCGCAUUAGCUAGUUGGUAAGGUAACGGCUUACCAAGGCGACGAUGCGUAGCCGACCUGAGAGGGUGAUCGGCCACACUGGAACUGAGACACGGUCCAGACUCCUACGGGAGGCAGCAGUAGGGAAUCUUCCGCAAUGAGCGAAAGCCUGACGGAGCAACGCCGCGUGAGUGAUGAAGGUCUUCGGAUCGUAAAACUCUGUUAUUAGGGAAGAACAAAUGUGUAAGUAACUAUGCACGUCUUGACGGUACCUAAUCAGAAAGCCACGGCUAACUACGUG
rnacentral:rRNA from 1 species